UACGUAGGGGGCUAGCGUUGUCCGGAUUUAUUGGGCGUAAAGAGCGUGUAGGCGGCCAGGUAGGUCUGCUGUGAAAACUCGAGGCUCAACCUCGAGACGUCGGCGGAAACCAUCUGGCUAGAGUCCGGAAGAGGAGAGUGGAAUUCCUGGUGUAGCGGUGAAAUGCGCAGAUAUCAGGAGGAACACCGGUGGUGUAGACGGCUCUCUGGACCGUAACUGACGCUGAGACACGAAAGCGUGGGGAGCGAACUGG
rnacentral:rRNA from 1 species